GUCGGACAACAGCAACACGCUGCAGGAUACGUGUAAAGAGGCUUGGGACUUACAAGUGCACAGGUGUUCCGGGACUGGAUAAUGGAGUCGCUGACGCUUUGUCGCAUAACCAGAUCUCCAGAUUCCGGGAGUUGCCACCUGCUGCUCGUCAGUAUCCGGAUCCCAUGCCCAAGCAGCUUUGGGAUCUUAGAGAGCCUAGGCGAUGGAAGCCAUGAGGAGAUCCGUGGCCCCAGGCAUGUUUUCAUCGAGAUGUCCACACAACCCCAAGAUCUCUUUCUUGGUCAGUCACCAGUAGCUCAAAUGCUAUGAAGUUAUACUUGAAGUUAGGAUUUCUUGUCCCAGCAUGCAUCACUUCUGAUCAGCUCUGAAGCUCUAUAAGUGGCUGUGUCACCUUAUGAAGUCAGAUAGGGACUCAAGGAGCAAAAAUUCCUUAAAAAUCAAAUACAUGGAUUUUUUAAAAAAAAAAUUGUGGAGGGGAGGAAGCUUAAACCCUUCACUCACAAAAAGCCAUGGCCCCUAAAUGCACAGAGCUCUCAGACAAAAUCCAUACACCCCUUCAAAUUUAGGUCUCAAGAUUUUAUUGUUUGUAGCCAAUGGCCAUCACAAUACAAACACAAAGCACACAAGUAUAAAACAGAGAAACAUUUGAUACAAUAAAACGAGAAUACAAUAAAAUGACCAGGAUUUAGAACAUUCCUUCUGUUUAACAUCCCCCCCUUAGGAUUUGACAGUGGUGUGGUUUAGAAAGACUGCUCUUCUUUUUCUUACAGCGAGCGCAAAUAAAGCUAUCCUAUAGCUGAUGAAUUUGUCCACAUCAGCCAGCAGCCAUCUAAUUUUAAUAUCUCUGAUUGGCCUCCUAAGGUGGUCUGGAAAGGGAGAAUUAAUUUAGCCCUGGCCGAAUUAUAUAAUGGACAGUAUAGGAUAGGGUGACCCUAUGACCAGAUUUGCCCAGUUUUUUUAUGACAAAUCCGGGAGGGGGAGGUUUAAUCCAGAUGUUUCCAAAGAGCAACUCCAAUGGGAAUUAACAAAAAUGGUUAUAACUCCAUCAUUUUUUUAAGAUAAAGAGCUGAAAGUUGGCACUAUGAUAGCUUUUAGGUAGUUCUUUAGCCAUACCAAAUUUGAAACAGAUCCGUUAAUCCAUUGAUUUUAGGAAUUUUUUUAAAAUUUAAGGAUUUAAAAUGAUUAUUUUUUUAAAAAUAUUAUUUUUAAAGAGAAAGAGAUGAAACUUGGCACCAUGAUUACUCUUAACAAGGACAUUAGCUAUGCCAAGUUUGAAACAGAUCCAUUGAGUUUUAAGAUUUUAUUUUAAAGUUUGAGGUUUUUAAAUUCCUUUUUAAAAUGAAAAAGUAAUGAAAGUUGGCACAAUGAUAGCUCUUAAGGAGAGAUUUAGCCAUGCCAAGUUUGAAUCAGAUCUCUUCAUCCAGUGUUUCUUUAGGAUUUUUUUAAAAGUUCAAAGUUUUAAAAUUAUUUUGUUUUAAUACUGCUGGAACCAUAUCCUUCAAACUCAGGUUGUCAAACCUCCUCUUUGGGGUGUUGCACAUUGAGCAGUUUCAGCCCUUGGCAUUAAGGGGAUCUCCAGUCUUUAGGUAAGAAGUCCUGGGCAAGCAGGGCACCUUUCCUGUUGCAGAUUUGGUGUGCAGUCAGGUACCUGGAGUUCAGCAGAGGCAAGGCAUCCACAAAUCAAAAUGUGGGAAAGGAGAGGUCAGUCAAAGCCACCCACAGGGCAAAACAGAAUGGGCCAGAGGCCUUUUUCUCAAAUUUCCACAUCAUGGGCGAUGAAGGGUUAUCUUUAGAGAAAAACUCUCACGGCCAACAGUAGGGUGCCAGUCGAGAGAGGGGCUCUCUUCUUUGUGGAUGCCCUGUUGCUGCAAAUGUUGGAACCUGGCAUAUCUUUGCUUUGCUUUGCUACCACUUCCCUUCCACUUCCCUUUGUACACUUGUGACUGCACUUGUGGGAUGCAAUGCAGAAAAUUUGAAGUGCAUACCAGAGGAAAAUAGAUAGAUUUGUGGCUUUGGCUGGCUGGCAUAUCUCUUAGAGACAGAGUUAGACUGAAGACACAACUCAGAGAUGGCUGUAGCUGAGCCCUGAGAGGAUGCUGUACCACACAGAGCCUUUUCAAGAGUGUCUCAGAGUCCAAUUUCGGUGCAGGCAGAGGCGGCUGGCGGUGGAAUUUGAACAAUCAAAAGAGUUGAACAAGCAAAAAGCAGCAGCAACAACCCUCACCCACAUAUAUACAAAUCAAGUUAAACAAAACAACAAGGGAGGAAAGGAAGUUGGGAGGGAGAGACUCUUUAGUUGUGUGUAUGUUUUUAACUGAGUCUUUGCUUCAAUGGAAAUGAGCCUUGUGUGGCGCAGAGCGGUUUCUGCAGCUGAAACUCUCCCCACAACCUGAGUUCGAUCCCAGCGGAAACUGGUUACAGGCAGCCGGCUCAGGUCGACUCAGCCUUCCAUUUUCCUGAGGUCGGUAAAAUGAGCACCCAGUUAGCUGAGGGAAAGGUAAUAAUGGCUGGGGAAGGCAAGGGCAAACCACCCCGCUAAAAGGGCUGCCAAGAAAACGUCAGUGAAAGCUGGUGUCCCUCCAGUGUCAGGUCUUAAGUGACACUGACAGGUCUUAAGUAGGUCUUUCAGCGUACCACGUUUUAAUAGCUACAGUUAUCCAUGCUCUGAUAACCUCUCGUUUGGAUUAUUGCAAUGCGUAAUACGUGGGGCUGCCUUUGAAAACGGUCC